GCGGGUAUAGUUUAGUGGUAAAACGAUAGCUUCCCAAGCUACUGUCGCGAGUUCGAUUCUCGUUACCCGCU
rfam:Lactobacillus saerimneri 30a contig00023, whole genome shotgun sequence.